UAACACAUAAAAUUGAGGCCAUGUCUUUAAAUCAGAGUGAUUGGACUUAUGGCUUUGCAAAUAAUGGUGUCUGGACAGCUUUUAAUCCCCUGCAUAUAAGAAAGCUGUCAGGUUGUAUACUGGGCUAUGGGUCAUAUGGUUCUGUCAUUGAGACUCUAUCCUGGACUGGUGAGCAAGAGACAUCAGGCUAGUAUAGCCCCUGGAAGCAUCUAUGUCCUUGGUCUGCAGCAGUGAUGAUGUGUGUCCUGCUCCUUAGCAGGUGCUUCAUAAGCUCUUACCCAGUUUCCUAGGAGGAAGCCUAGUGAAACUCAGCGGGUCACACAAGAAAAGCUUGAGAGUGGGAGGGAAACCAGCUGGGAAGCACAUGAACUCUGUGGAGGGGAAGAGAGAGAAGAGAGGAUCAUGGGUGACCAGUGUGGACAGACUGCCAUAUACACAGGUAUGAACAUCUAUUAUGAAUACCAUGCUAUUAUUACUAAAAGUAUCACAUAUUAUAGUAAAAAGAGUUGCAACAGAAAAUUAACUUUUUUUUUUUAAGUUUUUUUUUGAGCCAGGAUCUCACUACAUAGCCAUUGUCUCAGAACUCACUAUGAAGACCAGGCUGACCUUGAACUCACAGGCAUCCUCCUGCUUCUGCCUCCCGAGUGCUGGGAGUAAAGGUAUUUGCCACCACACCCUGCAUAAAAAUAACCAAUUUUAAGUGAGUGAUUUAUUCAGCACAUGUUAGAUGUGUACACCACUGCUGAUCUAUUUAAAGAAAACAUGUGUGACUGCACCACAAAAUGUAGAGGAGUGGAUCUGGUGCUUUGAUUUAAUCAGGUAUCUGUGUUUACUAACCCCGAAGGUCCUUGCCCCCAGUUGGUUUUUGAUCUAUCAAUAAAGAUGCAAGAGGCCAAUGAUUGGGUGGAAAGAAAGAGGCGGGGCUAACAGGUUCCCACAGGCGUGGAGAGGGAGGAAGAAUCAAGAUACUUGGGAGAGAGAGCUGGAGCAGACUCAGAACUGUAGGGGAGAUCUUCCAAAAUGUAGGCAGAAAAGAAAAGCAGCCCACAGAAGGGCAGCCCAAAGGUGUCUUGGGCAGCAAGACCAAUGGGCUUCACAGAAGGUAGCCAGGCAACUGAGCUGAGGCUGCCUGGCUAAGGGCAUGUGAUGUUUUACUAGAGCAAAUACUUGACAGAACACGUGAUGUUUGGAAAGGGAUAAAUAAACCCCAACAGACAGUAGAGGACGCUAUGGCUUUGGUUCACCUUGCCUUCUUCCCUGAUCAUCUCUUGUCAUGACUUCAUAGAGAGAAACGCACCAAAGAACUUCUCCUGAUAUUCCAGAGGCUUCUUGCCACUUCCAAGAACUUAGGCAGAUUGGCUGAUCGAUCCAGAAGAAACCGUGAGUCCCUUCCACGAACUACCAUUGCUGAUUCUUGUGAGCUCAACUGUUGAUAUCCAGAUAUGGAAGAUUGGAAUCGCCCACAAAGAACUUUACUAAACAGGUCCAUAUUCCCCUUUGCCCUACUGACUUUUCCUUUUCACGACCUUUGGUGGGUGAUGGCCGAGAAGGGAUAUUAAAGCAUUUAAGAACCUCAUUGAAGUAAGGUUUGAAAAAUCUGAGGAUACAGGAGAUUUCUGAACAUUUCUGCUAUUCUUCUUCAAUGCCAUUCAGAGAGAAAACUGCCAAUCAGGUUGUCCUCUCUAUACCUACUCUCCUUGACAAGGUAGUACUAUGCUAGUAUGUAUACAGUAUGAACAUUUACAGUUUAAAUGUCUGCCUAUCAGCAGCACUAAGUGUGUAAGGUAUCCAAAGGUACCAUGAAUCUCUAAGAGAGGUAACAUAUCCUGGCCUCACAGUGUCCACUUUCAUAGGACCUUUAAGUAAUUACUGGACACCUAAGGAGGGCACCUGCAGUUUUCUCUGAGUCUUUGCACUUUGGUGCUGGAGAGUUGCCUCAGGGGUUUGGAACACUGGCUGCUCUUCCAAGGUCCCAAGAUCAGUUUCCAGUACACACAUGAAGGCUUACAACGUGACAUAAUCCAGUUCAGGGCAUGCCAUACGUUUACUGGCCUCUACAGGAACUGAAUGCACACAGAACACAGGCACACAUUCAAAACACCACCCACAGGAAUC
rnacentral:lncRNA from 1 species